GUCUAAGUGACAGUGUCACACUGUCUCAGUAAAGUUGGCACAGUGAAAGAACACUGCGGCCCGUAGAUGCCGAACAUGUCUUGUGCUAGUCUCGUGAAAUCUUGC
rnacentral:lncRNA from 1 species